CUGUGAGUAGAACUUGCAUAUAUAAAAUGCAGCAGUUAAGCUAUUAAAGCAGAGUUGCUGUGAUUGUGUCAAGGAUAUUAUCAUAUCAAAAAACAUCAAUAUCAAAAACAUGUCGAAGAAAGAAAUAACCUGCAAAUAUUUCAUCCAUGGCACUUGUAAGAAGGAGAGUGACUGUGAGUUCUCUCAUGAUCUCAAAAACAGCAAGUCUAACAUGAUCUGUACAUUCUACCAGUAAGGACAAUGUACCUAUGGAGACAAGUGCAGAUAUGACCAUGUUAAACAACGCCCACCACCCUCAGUCUCACCAGCAGAAAACACUAACAGUGCCAGUUAUGCGGGAGCAUCAGUUCCAAGAUCGGGACCCAAAAAAGAAAAUGCAUCACUAUUUACACAACCUUCAAGUCAUAAAUAGGCACAUCAAAGUGACAUCCCUCUAAUAUCAUUAUGAUAUAAAAUUUAACAAAGUGUAAAAAAAAAAAAAAAAAAAAAAAUCUUUAAACCAAAAGAAACUUGUCAUUGUGAAAUGUGUUGUGUUAUUUUGCUAUGAUGUCAUGAUCCAGAAAAGUAACAAUAAACACAUCUUUAAAACUGACUGGAUAAUAUUGCUUCUCUUUUUACACAUGAGUCAUCAUGUCUACUUUGUGACAUGACUACCGCUGUUCACAUGGUCUGUACACAAAUGUUUGGAAACUUUGUAAUCAUCACUACAGUAGAUGGAUGUCAGGGUUUUACAGGCUAAAUUCACCCUUCGCCAACAGUUUUAUUGUCAGGCGGUCUGACCAAUCAUAAUGCAAAUAUUAUGUGCCCCCCUUGCUAU